GGCCCUUAAGCGUAGGGUCCCUUAACUUUUAACUAAAAACGCUAAGGGACGACCCUUAAAUAAGGGACUUUAGGGUCGUCCCUUAGCGUUUUUAGUUAAAAGUUAAGGGACCCUACGCUAAGGGCC
rfam:Brassica oleracea var. oleracea cultivar TO1000 chromosome C4, whole genome shotgun sequence